rnacentral:lncRNA from 1 species
AUACUACACUUGCUGCACUUUUUGUGCAAGAACUGAGGCAAGUACUAGUGGGGGACCUAUCGUCUUACACCCAUGUUAUCCAGGGGCAUAGUGAUGAGCUGUUUCUCUGAUCCGUUCUGCAGCUACUAGUGUCUCUCGUUGUAUUUUUUUUUAUUCUGUCUAUUUUUAUUUCAGACAGUAUUUGAGAUUUUGUAUAAUCUACUAGAUGCUCAUAGACCUGUGACACCAGGUCUUGGCACACACAUGAGUAGAAUUUGGGUUUUAUUAUUUUCUUGGUUUUAAAUUUUGUCAGUAUAUGCUUAAUUUAUUAAGUUGUCUUGCCUAGCUAUAGUGUUGGGCGCCAUCACAACCUAGAGGUGAAAUUGGGUCGUGACACGCGAAGCCUGGUAUUAUCUCGCUAUAGAGCUCGCGAACCCUGGAAUUUAGCUCGCUACAUAGCUCGUGAAGCCUGGUUUGUAGCUCACUACAGGGCGUGCCUAGCCUGGUCUAUAGCCCGGUCCGGAAUUUGGAGGGUUUUUAUAACCCGACCCCCAUUUCAUUUAACUCAUUUAGGGUUCAUAUUUUUGGGUAUUUUUUGGUGUUUUAGAGAGAAGGGAGAUCGAUUCUAGAGAGAGGAAAUGAAGGACUAAGGAUUUCACUACUCUGCCUUGAAUAAAACCUUGAAAUCGCAUCAAAGGGUUGCUAGAGCUUCAAAGAGGUAAGAAUUUCUUUCCCCAAUCCUUCAAUUUUGAAAUCUAACUAGAAAUGGGUAAUUAGUAAGAUGAUUCUUGGAUGUGAGAGUAUUACUUAUACAUGAUUGUACCAAUAAAGUCGUGAGAAGAUUUUUAAGUUCAAAGGGAUAAAGAUUGAGUGGAAAAAUGGUAGAAAUCUUCAAAGACUUUAAUUGAAGAUUUGAAGGGCAAUUCGAUAUCGGAAUUCGAUAAUUAUUGUAUGGAUGAACUCGUAUCGGAACAGGUGUUCAGAUUUUAUGAGUUUUUCAGAGAUUCGAAAUAUGGGUCCUACUGUCGAUUUUUAAAAUGAAUUUCGAAUUUUAAUACGAAAUAUUAGUAACUUCAUAUGGAAUUAAUUCCUACGAUUCGUAUUGAGUAUAUUGAAUUGUUGUGACUAGAUUUGAAGCAUUCAGACACGAAUUUGCAAGGCAAAAGUUUAUUGGAAUCUUGAAUUUGGUUGCGGACCGAG